GCGCCGGUGGUGUAAGGCGAACAUCGCUGCCCGGAAAGCAGAAGAUGCAGGUUCGAGUCCCGCCUGGCGCA
rfam:Heligmosomoides polygyrus genome assembly, scaffold: HPBE_scaffold0002296